rnacentral:rRNA from 1 species
UACGUAGGUGGCAAGCGUUUGUCCGGAAUUAUUGGGCGUAAAGCGCGCGCAGGCGGUCCUUUAAGUCUGAUGUGAAAGCCCACGGCUCAACCGUGGAGGGUCAUUGGAAACUGGGGGACUUGAGUGCAGAAGAGGAAAGCGGAAUUCCACAUGUAGCGGUGGAAAUGCGUAGAGAUGUGGAGGAACACCAGUGGCGAAGGCGGCUUCUGGUCUGUAACUGACGCUGAGGCGCGAAAGCGUGGGGAGCAAACAGG